rnacentral:rRNA from 1 species
AUUGAACGCUGGCGGCAUGCCUUACACAUGCAAGUCGAACGGUAACGGGCCUUCGGGUGCCGACGUGUGGCGAACGGGCGAGUAAUACAGCGGAACGUGCCCGACCGUGGGGGAUAACGAGGCGAAAGCUUUGCUAAUACCGCAUACGAUCUACGCAUGAUAGCAGGGGACCGCAAGGCCUUGCGCGGACGGACCGGCCGAUGGCGGAUUCGGUAGUUGGUGGGAUUAAAGCUUACCAAGCCGAGGGUCUGUGGCUGGUCUGAGAGGAGGAUCAGCCACACGGGGACUGGGAAACGGCCCAGACUCCUACGGGAGGCAGCAGUGGGGAAUUUUGGACAAGGGGGGCAAGCCUGAUCCAGCCAUGCCGCGUGGAGGAUGAAGGCCUUCGGGUUGUAAGCUGCUUUUGUACGGAACGAAAAGCCUUCUUUUAAUACAGGGGGGUCAUGACGGUACCGGAAGAAUAAGCACCGGCUAACUACGUG